GACAGAGGGUGCGAACGUUGCUCGGAAUUACUGGGCGUAAAGCGCGUGUAGGCGGGUGAUCAAGUCAGGUGUGAAAUCCCCAGGCUCAACCUGGGAACUGCACUUGAAACUGGUUGCCUUGAGUGUUGGAGAGGGAAGCGGAAUUCCUGGUGUAGAGGUGAAAUUCGUAGAUAUUAGGAAGAACACCAGUGGCGAAGGCGGCUCACUGGCCCGGUACUGACGCUGAGGCGCGAAAGCGUGGGGAGCAAACAGG
rnacentral:rRNA from 1 species